UACAAUUGAUGCAGCGAACGGUACUUUAACCUGUAGUCUACAAAUCAGGAUAAUCAGCUGGUCAGCACGCUGUGGAUCAAAUCUGUCACUAUGGUGACCGUCAGCGCAUAAAAAUCCAGUCUACCGGUGACACUAUGUGAAUAUACUGUCCAUUCUCUCAGCAUCUUCAAUAAGCAACUAAAGGAACAACUGUGGAGGAGAGGGGUUGUUGUUGGUGGAAGCUCUUUCUUACCAUUUACAAGUUUUUUUUUUGUUUGUUGGUGAAACGUGUUUUAGGCAUCAGUCCCCAGUUGACUUGAUAGUUUAAGAACGAACUCAUUUACACAAACUCACUCUUUUUAUAGUCAACUGCGACAGUCAAUGAUGUUCAUCCGAAGCUUCGUUUUUGUAACUUUUUCUCAUUAUUUCGUACUUCUGUUGGUGUGUCUUCUCCCUCGGGCGUCCGCUCAGAAAUCCACUGGUCCACGGUGGCUGAUAGGAGACAGGGAGACCCACUGUGGGAUCAUCUGUUCCAGGACACAGGGCAAGCCGGUGUGUGGCUCUGAUGGACGGAGCUACGAUACCGGCUGUGACCUGCAGAGGGCGCGCUGCAAGGACCGAUCUCUGACGCUGGCACACCGCGGACGAUGUCGAGGUAAAAACUCGGUGAGGAUUGACCAGCUUCCAGUAGUUCCUGCUCCAACAUCAGUCUCAGAAGGGAAGAACCUGGAACUGGAAGAUGGAGGCCAGUCUAAGUGCAGGGUGGAGAGGAAUCAGGCUCUGGAGCUGGCUAAGAGACCUCUGGAGUCCAUCUUCAUCCCAGAAUGCAAUGAGGACGGAACCUUCGCCCAGGUGCAGUGUCACACUCUGACAGGAUACUGCUGGUGCGUCACCACCGACGGCAAACCAGUCAGCGGUUCCUCCGUGCACAACAGGACCCCUGUGUGUUCAGGAAACUUCCGUGAAUUUAUGGGAACUCAUGCUGGGACAAGUGACAAGUUGUCAGGGUCAGUAACUGAUAAACCAUCUGGGCCUCCUAGUUCCGGGAGAAAAGUCUCUUUCCGUUUCUUUCUCACUCUCAACCCAGAUGAUGGCGCCAAGCCCACGCCCACCAUGGAGACCCCUACACUACCAGAUGGGGAUGAGAUUACGGCUCCGACCUUGUGGAUCAAACAGCUGGUUUAUAAGGAGAGCAAACAGAACAGUUCCAGCACCAGGCGACCAGAGAAAGUUCCCUCUUGUGACCAGGAGAGACAGAGUGCCCUGGACGAGGCCCGUCAGAACCCUCGUGAGGCUAUCUACAUCCCAGACUGUGGGCCAGGGGGCCUCUACAAGCCUGUACAGUGCCACCAGUCCACUGGGUACUGUUGGUGUGUUCUGGUAGACACAGGGAGACCCAUACCAGGCACCUCUACCAGGUACCAGACCCCAGAGUGUGACAGCACGGCUCGUUCGAUGGUCUCCGACGUUGAAGAUCCUUUCCAGGGCCGAGACCUGACAGGCUGUCCGGAGGGUAAAAAAGUGGAAUUCAUUACCAGCCUUUUAGACGCCCUUACCACAGACAUGGUCCAGGCCAUAAACUCACCAACCCCCUCUGGUGGCGGGAGGUUGAUGGAGCCGGACCCCAGCCACACUCUAGAGGAGAGGGUGGUCCACUGGUACUUUACCCAGCUGGACAACAACAGCAGCCAUGACAUCAACAAGAAGGAGCUGAAGCCCUUCAAGAGAUACGUCAAGAAGAAAGCCAAACCCAAGAAAUGUGCCAGGAAGUUCACUGACUACUGUGACCUGAACAAGGACAAAGCCAUCUCACUUCUGGAGCUGAAGGGCUGUCUUGGGGUCAGCAAGGAGGGUAGUUCUGUGAGCAGCAUCAACCAAGGGACAAGUAGGUCGUCUGGUGUGAGGAAGGAAGGCUCCAGAAGCUGAGAGGAGAGCAGAGGGAAGGGUUAGAACAGAGGGGAGGGUUAGAACAGAGGGUAGAGGGAGCAGAGGGAAGGGUUAGAACAGAGGGAGCAGAGGGAAGGGUUAGAACAGAGGGAAGGGUUAGAACAGAGGGAGCAGAGGGAAGGGUUAGAACAGAGGGAAGGGUUAGAACAGAGGGAGCAGAGGGAAGGGUUAGAGCAGAGGGAGCAGAGGGAAGGGUUAGAGCAGAGGGAAGGGUUAGAACAGAGGGAAGGCAUCUGUACGCUUUCUGACUGACAGCAAAGAGAAAGCUGGAGCAGAGAGAUGGAGCAGAAAGAUGGAGCAGAGAGAUGGAGCAGAAAGCUGGAGCAGAGAGAUGGAGCAGAAAGAUGGAGCAGUUCCUGUACAAAAAGAAGAAUGAAAAAAAAAAAAAGAGAAAAUAAAACAAGAAGUGGCGCCAAAAUAUUUGCACUUUCUCCUCCCGAUGUUUGACUUUCUAUCUGUUUUGACAUUUGUUUGAUAUUUUCUAGUGUGUGACUUAAAAGGUCUCGAUAACAAUAAUAACUCUUCUUCUCAUUGUUAACCUUAAUGUGUAAAAGCAGCGAGACAAUUAUCCCCUGUAAUGUUCUUCACUCGAACAUUAUCCAUGUUGCUGUGGCGUUUCUGGUUCUUCACUGGGACAUUAUCUAUGUUGCUGUGGCGUUCUUGCAACACAACAUCCUGUCAUUUCAUAUAAUAGCACAUGAAAGUAGAAGCACAGCUAAAUGUGUCUUCCAACACAGCAAACUUUUCCUGUAAUGUUUAUCCCGUCAGUCCCAAUGUUACUCUGUCAGCCGUGAGGCUGUGUUCUCUCUGUUCUGUCUCCUUAAUAACACAGGAGUUGAUGACAAGAAUAAGCUUUUUUUUUUUAAAACGAGCUGCAAAACAACAGCCUCAGUUUGCUCUACAAUAAACUGUUCAACUGUAGCUGUAACCAGCAGAAAACAACGACAACCCGUUUGAUCACCAGUUGCCUAACGAUCAUGUCUUUUUGUGGUUGUUGUUGUGUUCAUUGUGAACCCCAGGAAGACUAGCUGUUGUCAUAGGGUCCUGGGAUCCGAAAUAAAGUUCACAAAUAGAGUUCAGCUGCAGAAGUAAAGAGACUCAAUCCCCCAUAAUUCACCCCCUUCAGAAGUCCAGUAGCCGUGUGAAGUGUUAUUUACUUUGGUCCCUGACUAGAGAGGCUAUAUGUACAGGGAAGUAGUGCACAAAUACAAGCGAAUGUGUUCAGUAUGUUUUGUUUUGUAAAAUGUAUAUGAACUGCAAUAUUCAUUAUAUGAAAUGGUAUGGGUGGAAAGGAAACUGUGAGACUGACUGAGUUAAGUUUAAAGUAUUUCUUUAUGAGUCAUAAUAAUGAGAGGUUUAGACAUUAAACCCCUGGCACUGUAUUUUAAAUCAACUAUAAGAUAAUUUAGGCAGAACAGACACUGAACAGGCCAACAGAGUCAGAGAGAGAUAAGGGGUGUAUUCACUAGGAACCAAACAGAAGCAAACAGGACGAAACGGGGAGGGAACCUACCUGAAUUUGUCCAAUAGAAUACUCUUGUUUUGUAUUUUUUUGCUACAGUGUGCGCUAAUGAAUACACCUCGGCUAAAAUUCCAUGUCAGAAACACAUAGAUUUUUGGUCAGGUUUUGUCUGUGGUCUGUUAAGUUAACCCAUUAGUCCUAAUAAUAUGUUACGGUAACCACAAGUCUGAUAUCACUUCAACAGUGGCGUAACUGACGGAAAAUGUCACCACAGUCAUAAUUAAAAAAUAAAAGACUGACGAAAAACAUUAUGAUAUCCCCUCAUGGAAAUUGUUAUCUUUCUAAAUUCAGAAAGAUGAGGUUUGUUUAUGUGUGAUUGUGAUUGUUUAUGUGUGUAUUUGUUUGCUUAUGUGGACUUAUCCCUGGAAGCCGUACACUGACCCCAUGGAACUAAAGUACGAGAGAAGGCUCUCAAUGUAAAUAUGUAUCAUAUUCUGUUGUUGGUUUCCUUGUUUCAUUGUGGAGCUUUUGGACUAAACUUUCUAAAAGCAAUACCAUCUUUAUUUUAUUCACAUCAACGACAAAUAGCGGUACUAAAUGUACUUAUUACACAUUAAUAUAGGACCCAAACUGUAAGACCAUCACAACAUUUUUUGAGUGUAGACCUCUCCCACAGCAUUUGACUUCCUGUAUGUAACAGGUGUCAAUGUGGUUGCUUUGGAAACGGGAAGAAGAAUCUCUCUAAGGGGAACAAGAGCACAUUACUGACCCCUUCUGGUGAAAAUAUAUCACUGCUUUUAGAAAGGGACCGUCUCAAACGCAAGCAUCUAGUUCGCUAUAUCUUUUAGACAGGUGUGUAACAACACAAGGACCUUACUAAGCAAUAGCUUUUUCUUUUGACCAAGCCAAUUGACUUCCAUAAUUUGAAAUAAAAGUUUUUAAAGAA